rnacentral:rRNA from 1 species
GAUGAACGCUGGCGGCGUGCCUAAUACAUGCAAGUCGAACGGAGAGUGUAGUAAUAUACUCUUAGUGGCGAACGGGUGAGUAACGCGUUGGUGACCUGCCCCGAAGAGAGGGACAACAGUUCGAAAGGACUGCUAAUACCUCAUGUGGUCGCAAAGGUUAGAGGCUUUGCGACUAAAGGAGUAAUCCGCUUCGGGAGGGACCUGCGUCCCAUCAGCUAGUUGGUAGGGUAAUGGCCUACCAAGGCGACGACGGGUAGGGGACCUGAGAGGGUGAUCCCCCACACUGGCACUGAAACACGGGCCAGACACCUACGGGUGGCAGCAGUAGGGAAUUUUGCACAAUGGGCGAAAGCCUGAUGCAGCAACGCCGCGUGCGCGAUGAAGGCCCUCGGGUCGUAAAGCGCUUUUCGGGGAGAUGAGAAAGGACAGUAUCCCCGGAGUAAGUCUCGGCUAACUACGCGCCAGCAGCCGCGGUAAAACGUAGGAGGCGAGCGUUAUCCGAAUUUACUGGGCGUAAAGCGCGUGCAGGCGGUUUGGUAAGUUGGAUGUGAAAUCUCCCGGCUCAACUGGGAGAGGUCGUUCAAUACUGCCGAACUUGAGGAUGGUAGAGGGAGGUGGAAUUCCCGGUGUAGUGGUGAAAUGCGUAGAUAUCGGGAGGAACACCAGUGGCGAAGGCGGCCUCCUGGGCCAUUCCUGACGCUCAGACGCGAAAGCUAGGGGAGCAAACGGGAUUAGAAACCCCGGUAGUCCUAGCCGUAAACGAUGUGGACUAGGCGUUGGUGGGGUAAAAGCCAUCAGUGCCGUAGCUAACGCGGUAAGUCCACCGCCUGGGGACUACGACCGCAAGGUUA